rnacentral:rRNA from 1 species
CCGCAAGGAAGUAAGAUCCCUGAAAGAUGAUCAGGUUGAUAGGUCUGAGGUGGAAGUGUGGCGACACAUGGAGCUGACAGAUACUAAUCGAUCGAGGACUUAACCACA